AACAACAUGCAAACCGUGUAACACAUUACAGGUAAGAUCAUUCAACAACCAAUAAGGAAAAUAAGGUAAAACAUCCCGUCCCGAUGUUACAUCUACCAGAGCAUGACCCACUAAGGAACUACACUAGACCCCAAGGACUAGCUUCUACUCAAUCAUUGCCCGUUACCUGAAAAAUAGUUGUAAGGGUGAGUUCCUCAAUCGAUAUAAUAAGCAUUAUGAAAUAUCAUGUAAUGCUAAGUAAUUUAACACAUAUCAUCACCCUAAUCAGAUCACACAUAUUCAGCAACGGCAAUAUCAACUCAUAAUCAUCAUCAUCA
rnacentral:lncRNA from 1 species